rnacentral:lncRNA from 1 species
AUCGUGGAAUGGCUCUUCAAUAUUUCCAUAGAGAUAUCCUCGCCAUCACAUUAUCAUAGUUAUAGCAAGAUAUAUUUGUGCAUAAAUUGCAUUAAGGAGGUGGUACCUCAAGAUCAAGAAUUGUAGAUUCUUCAAGCAACUAAAUCCUUCAUUGGUUGUCAUAUAAGUUAAGUCAUAUAAUAGACUUUAGAUGCAUAUCAAGUUUUUCAUGUCAUGAUAAAUAAAUAAGAUAUCGAAAACUGAUUACACAUACCAUUGACUUUAUACUUUCAAGUAUUCGAACUACAUGUCCAAAAUUACAUGUCUUUCAUAUGGAAUCAAUUCUACUAGAAUUGUAUCUCUUCUAUUUGGCCAAUAUUUUUGUUUGUAUUCGACAAACAUAAGAUCCUCAUAGAUAUUUAGCACUAUCAUAGAUGUCGUCGACGAACAUUUUAUAUCGGUUCCAGUAAAUUUUCA